rnacentral:misc_RNA from 1 species
AUCUCUCAACCAUGCCGACUCGUUUGUCGGCGUGGCUUGGAUUUGGGGGUUUAUAUGCAGGCCCUUGCUUGUGGUCUGCUCCCCUGAAAUGCAUGAGUGGUUGGAACCCCUCUGUUAGGUGUGAUAAUUAUCUGCAUCUGAUGGAAAGGUCGUGGCUGCUACGUCGUUGGAGUUGAUAA